rnacentral:rRNA from 1 species
GUAUUACCGGACGUCGGACGGCGCAUCCCGGGGGAAGCCGGGGGGCGUGGGAUGGGGUCCCGGCCCAUCAGGUAGACGGCGGGGUAACGGCCCACCGUGCCUACAACGGGUAGCCGGGUUGAGAGACCGACCGGCCAGAUUGGGACUGAGACACCGGGGGCUACGGGAGGCCGUGCAGCAGUGGGGAAUCUUGCGCAAUGGGGGCAACCCUGACGCAGCGACGGGGCGUGCGCCCAGACACGGACGAAGGCCUUCGGGCAGCCGCUCGUAAACCGCUUUCAGCAGGGACGAGGACGGACCUGCAGAAGAAGCCCCGGCUAACUACGUGCCAGGGGUGGUAGGCGGGGAUACGUAGGGCUGCGAGCGUUAUCCGGAUUAAGACAUUGGGCGUAAAGCGCGCGUAGGCGGCCGCGUAGGUCAAAUCCCGGGGCUCAACCCCGGUCCGCCCCCGAACCCCGCGGCUCGGGUCGGUAGGGGGAACACCCGGUGUAGCGGUGGAAUGCGCAGAUAUCGGGUGGAACACCGGUGGCGAAGUUUCUGGGCCGAGCCGACGCUGAGGCGCGAAAGCUGCCCGUCAGGGAGCGAACAGGAUUAGAUACCCUGGUAGUCCCAGCCGUAAACGAUGGACGCUUUGUGUGGGGGGACGAUCCCUCCGUGCCGCAGCCAACGCAUUAAGCGUCCCGCCUGGGGAGUACGGCCGCAAGGCUAAAACUCAAAGGAAUUUUGGGGGCCCGCACAAUCGGGACAGCAGCGGAGCAUGUGGCUUAAUUCGAAGCAACGCGAAGAACCUUACCAAGCCAGCAGUCUUACAUCCGGAUGACCGGAACUUAACCGUUCCUUCCCUUCGGGGCAUCCGAGACAGGUGGUGCAUGGUUUCGUCAGUCGUGUCGUGAGAUGUUGGGUUAAGUCCCGCAACGAGCGCAACCCCGCCGCAUGUUGGUCAAAGCCGGCCAGGCUGGGCACCCCGUCGGCGUCAAGCCGGAGGAGGGCGCGAUGGGGGGGACGUCAAGUCAUCAUCCCCUUAUGCCCUGGGCUGCACACGUGCUUUAAUGGCCGGUACAGCGGGAUGCGCGAGCCGGAGCGGAUCCCUCCCAGUUCGGAUUGGGGGCUGCAACCCGCCCCCAUGAAGUCGGAGUUGCUAGUAAACGCGGAUCAGCAUGCCGCGGUGAAUGCGUUCCCGGGCCUUGCACUCACC